UACUUCUCUAUUUUAAAAACGAACGUCUUUACUGGAAUCUUUUUGUUUGACAAAGUCUAUACAGGUUUAGAGAACUAAAACUGACUGAACAAAAUUAUUCAAAAUGUUUUUCAACUUACAGGUUGAAACGAUCUAUGAAAUAUAAUUCAACAACGUUUCUAAUCCCCUGUUUGACAACCAUAUUUUCAAACUCUUUUUUCUACAUAAUCAUUUUCAACAGCACAUUCACACAAUAAAAUAUUAUAUAUGUAAACCCAAAAUCUUGAACUGCUUUUUAACCACACAUUCUCCUAAAAAACGCUAUUCAAAACUUUGUUUUUCACAGUUAACAAUUAUCAAACAGGGGCACACUUGAUUUAAGUUCCUAUUUGGGCCCCAUUUUUUACAUUUUUUCAAAAUUCAUUUUUAACCACACAUUCAACUAUAAAAUAAUAUUAAAUGUAAAGUCAAAACUUUUCGUUAUUUUUUAACCAUAUAUUCUAUAAAAAAUCACUAUUUCAAAACACACUUUCUCCCCAACAUUUAUUUUACUGGAGCCCAAACAAGGGCUAAAAGUCAAACACAAAUUUAUUUGGAGGCUGCAAGCAACAUGCUGUUGUAUUUUAAAAAGGAGGAAUAUUUUCCACCCCAGCUUUGGUUUGACAGUGAAAUAACAUCCCAAAGCUAGGUGCAUUAAACUUUGUUAAUCAGGCAAGAAAGAGGCCCGUCAGAUCUCAAGGUCCAUUUCUAC
rnacentral:lncRNA from 1 species